GCUGAGGGGAAAGUGUUUGCGGCCGUGCACCACAUAUGUGAAUCAUGACAUUAAACAGAUGGCCCAUUCACUCCUCAGUGAAAGUCCCCUGGGGGCUAUAAGAGAGAAAGGAGAUUUCCUAUGCAACAUAACAAUUUGGACAUCAUAGGGGAUAGAGUUACAAGACUUUCUUUAUUCCCCACCUGAAACUCUUAAAGGGCAACACCAGGGAAUUCCAUCUGAUCUUUGGAUACUAAUCUUGUUUUAUGCCAUUUUGAUCAGUCUGUUAAGAACUGGCAGUCCGCACAGGGGAGUAUACAUAUAAGUGCACACUUAGCGACAGAUGGACGGUCCCUUUUUGGUGACCUGAAUACACUUGGAGCCCACAAAUCUUCCCUGUCUGGAGAAAUCCUUGCACAGCAAGAUCUCAGGAAGCAGGAAUACUUCAUCUCCACACAACGCAUGUUGGCAGGCAGACACAGCCUGGUGUGGAGUUGGCAAAGGGAGCCACUACCAGCCAUUCAGAGGGGAAAUCAAAGUAAUAUUGUUUGGAAUCUGUUGAAUAUCUCUCUUUCUGCUUCAAGGCUACUCAUUGGCCUUCAAAAUCUGUGGGCACAAUCCAUUCCCCUGUGCAAGCCCCAGCAGAGGUAAAUGAGAGCUUCAUGAGUGCUCUUAAGCAUCUCCUCAUGGCAAGGACACUUGCAUAGGUGAGUCUCUCAGUGCGUUUCGCUUCAUGGAGCUGAAUAUAGGAGUUCCACAACUCAAAAUGCAAAGAAAAUAAUUGAGUAAGUCCAUCACUAAGAUGGUGCCUUCUUUUCUCCAUUCUUUCUCUGGGGUGAAGUCAAACUGCUGUGGUAGCAGAACCAAAGUGGCUUCCCCGGGGGGUAAACCUGGGCAUUAUGUGUGGAGGUCCUGGGCUGCCCAGACAACAAGACAGUUGUUCAUCAAAAUACUUUAUUGUAGCUAUAGACUACUGUCUUUUACUCAACUAAAGCCAAUCGAUUCACUUAAGAGACUUCAUAAAUUGCCCAAAACCUUCCUUUCUGAACAUACUGAUAAGCAAUGCCAGAGAAAUUCACAAAUUGGUCAGUGAGGAGAACUUGGUUGGUUUUCAUUUCAUAGAAAAGUUUCAAGAAUCACUUAGUGGGUGCUCAGUCAGAGUUUCUACUCUAUGAAAGCCGUAGAAUAAGGAGACAUCAAGUGAUGUGCUUGCAAAUCAUUCCAUAGGACCAUCCUUUCUAGACACUUCCUUUCCGAAGCCAGGAAGCGGGUUCUGUUCUGUAGGUGGAAUUAUCUUCCUCAAUGGCUUUGACUGCAAACAGCACUCUCUCUAUAGAGAGAGGUCUGAAAGGCAUUUCUCACUUUUUUCACGGCAACAAUAAUGAUGUGGGGAUAAAUGUUGGGGAUUAACCACCAUCUGGAGGGACGGCUAAUGGCUCACAGUGCAGCUGAGAAUCAUUAACUCCAACUACCCAUUAAUCGCCAGAAAAUAUCCUGUGCCAAUGCCCUUAUUAUUGGCACAUGCUAAAAGCAGGGGAAAGAUUGUGAAGUAAAUAUAUGGAUCUGAUUCAUAAAAGGGGUAUCCUCUCCCUCACAGUGUAGCCUGAGGAGAAAGUCACUGUUGUUGAGGGAGUGGGAAAGUGAUCGUUUUCCCGGCCUCAGAAAAGAUCCAAGUCUUGUGGGAAUUGGAAUUUGGGCCCCACGAGACACCAGGUGAGCGGUUGGGAAACAGAUUUCUGUAACGUCUUUCCCCACCAAUCCUUUGGAGGAAUGGGACACGGUGGAGACUGCCAUAGCUUUAAGAAAUAUGGUUUAUUCACCUAUUUACACCUCUCAUGGGGGCGGGGUCCAGAUCUUACAGUAUGGUCAUUUCAAGAUGAGCUUGUACCGCAUAGCAGUGCAGCCCUGGAGUCCGAGGAAUCUCUCCCAGUCAGCAAACAGCCAUCCUGCCCAAGAUGGAUACCAGUCUUUUUUCCUCCCCCUCCUUCUUCCCAGCAACGCUUGCUAAAGAUUCCCUUUUUCUGUCACCUGACACCCAUUUACUCUGGCAACUUGCCAAACCCCCUUAUUUUAUGCUACUUGUGUUUUAACAUAUUUGCAAUGUUUCUUUUAAAUAAUCUACAAGCAUUUUCCAAUCCUCCUUAAACUCUUCCUCAUCUUGAUCUCUAAUUUUAAGUUAAACUUGCAAAUUCGGCAUAUUUCAUCUGUUUUACCUGCCACUUCUCUUUUGUAGGUACAAAGUAAUGGGCUGAUCUUGUGUCUGCUUCCUCCCCCCCUUUGCAUGAGUUGACUUUAUUUAUUUAUUAAGGCAAAUUUCAUACUGCUUAACUGUAAAUCAAACUUCUAAGCGGUUCACAAAGAUUAUAAACCAUACAUUAAGAAUUGUAUAAAAUAUGUUCCAAUGUGCCCUCACAACAAUUCAAUUGUGCUUCAGGGUUUUCAAUGAUUUAAAUUCAAAUCAUGAAAGCUCUGAGCAGGCAUAAAAGACACAGUUGCCACCUAAAUUGGAAGGAAUUAUAUACGUAAGACAAUGAGGGAAGCUGUGAGUGUGUCUCUGCAUGCCCACACAUGCAUGCAUGCUCCAGCAACCUAAGCCUGAGCUUUGCACUGUUUGCAGCUGCUUUUAAAUCACCUUUAAAGACAGCUCCACAUGCUACUGCUUUGUUCCACUAUGUUUGAGAUCCUAAAGUAAUCAGGAUAGUCACUUGAUCUUGUGGGAUGUUAGCAUUCAAAAUGCACAUGCAAAGGGUUAAUGGCAAGAGCUGUAGAAUUCUGCUGGUGUUGCCCAGUCAGUGGCAGUUAUGGUGGCAGUUGGUACAGUUAUGGCAGUUAGGGAGCAGACUUAAUGGUCAGAGUAGCAGGUACAUGUUAUGCUGUGCUGCUGUCUGCCUCAGAGUUAAUUAGUCUGUAACAGUUUAAUCUAUGUAAGACGCUAUAGCAGCUUAAGUAAAUAUGCAUUGCAUACUUAAUCUGCAACUGCAAGCACACUAAGCAAAAAUUAUAUGUUGCUUUAAACUUUAAGAGUGUGAACUAAUCCAAGGGUCAAACGACCCAGGGCUGCCUCCCACAUACUCUGCAAAUGGGAACUAGAGCCUCAUUCUCACAUAUCUGAAUCUGGGUUUUCACCAGAAAGCCCCCUGGUUGGCGCCACCGACUGAAAAGCCAAUGCCAUUGCUGGGGUAACUGAUGAAACAUGUACAAAGGGAAGCCAGUUUACCAUCUUUGGGGGGUUGACAGUGUUAAGAUUUAUCUGUCAAUUAUUUACCCAGUAGGUAAGGCCAAUACAAGCCUGGAAGCUGAGAAUUCAGAAAUAGUAGUUCAGAGCCGGAUCCUACAAUUAGAGCAGUAGCCUAACCAAGAGUGUCCUGGGAAUGCUGGAGCUCAGGCACCAUAGCUGAAUUUGCAAAUGAAAAGAGCAAAUGUGCAAGUCAUAAAGCUAAAUAGAGAAGCUCUGCAAGCUAUUAGACCACUAAGUGGAGUAAAAAACCAGAGUGCCCGGUUGCUGCUUCCAAGCCCAGGCUGGGCUUGCUUUGCUUUGAAAGCCUGAUUGGAUAAAGUAUUUUUAUUAACUUCACAUUUUGCUGCUCAUUUUCUUCCCCCUUCUUUUCAUAUUGCUGGCUCAGAAAGACUCUGCUCCUGAAAUGGAUGGUUAUUGGCCGUGGCAGGUUGCAACACCCCUGCGGCACCCGCAGACAAAUCCCAGAGUGCAGACCACAAAACCAGAGGAGCUUCAUCGGCUGCUGGUAUUGGGAAAUUGCUCAAGCAACUCUUUGUCUUUAUCCUCUGCCAUAUGCAUCUUGUCCUUUCCGCAACUGGUAUAUGGACCCAUAAGCAGAAAGCAAAACUGAGUUCCUUACAACCACUUCACCCACAAUACUUUUCAGCUUGCAUAGCAAAGAGGACUUAUGGGCUUCUCUGAAUGAUUUGCUUAUGGAGCAUCCACCCUGAUUUGCCUGCAGAAAACUUACACACAAAGACUGACUGGUCUUUGUUGAGCAUUUGUUCUGAUUGGUUUGCAGAAAGAUAUGACAAUGAAGAUCCAUCCUGAUUUGCUUGUGUGGCAUUUAUACCACUUCCUGUUAACCAUUUGUUUACCCCCACACUUUUCAGUUCAUCUCCACAUCACUUUCCUAAACACAAAAUGCCUGUUUUUGUUUUAAAGUGGAUUUGUUGCACUAAUGCAAUGGAGUGUUUUAAUCCACUUCAACUGCGCAAGCCCAAAUUUCCAGUAUGUACUUGAAUUCCUCCUGCAAAAUAGGUAUAGUCUGGAGGUAAGUAACACGUGUUUUGUAAACAGUCAUGUUUAUGCGUCACUUGUGUGUAAGGCAUAAACAUGAUUGCUUGGGAGCGCAGCCACAUUUUUAGCCUUGCCCUAACACGGUUCCUCCUUCAACAAUCGCCCACAGAGGCCCAUCAACAGCCGUGCACAAGACGCCUCUCCCUUCCCAAGUUUCCAGCAGCUGAUAUUUAGCAGCAUACUGCCUCUGACCAUGGAGACAGAAUAGAGCCGAUGUUUUCAGAUUUACUGCUUUAAGAUGUCAAAAUGGUGUGGUAUUUUAGACAGCUAGGUCUGAAAACAUUAAGAAAAAGCAAUGAAUGUGCUUAUAGAAUGAGCAGCGGUUGAUCUCAUCUUCUAUUGCUGUAGUUUUCUAACUUUGGGGGGAAAGCCACAGAAGGCAGUUGCAGGUAACCACAAUGAUGAAGAUGAUGAUGAUGGUAAUAAUAAUAAUAAUAAUAAUAAUAAUAAAUUAUUUAUUACUUUCCCCAGCCACUCUGGGAGGCUUCCAACAGGAGAUUAAAAAUGCAUUAAAACAUCAGUCAUUAAAAAACUUCCCUAAAAAGGGCUGCCUUCAGAUGUCUUCUAAACGUCAGAUAGUUGUUUGUUUCUUUGACAUCUGAUGGGAGGGUGGGAGCCACCACCAAGAAGGCCCUCUGCCUGGUUCCCUGUAACUUCGCUUCUCAGUGCUGGACCUCAGUGUCUGGGCAGAACAAUGGGGGUGGAGACGCUCCUUCAGGUAUACUGGGCUGAGGCCAUUUAGGGCUUUAAAGGUCAGCACCAACACUUUGAAUUGUGCUCAGAAACAUACUGGGAGCCAAUGUAGGUCUUUAAGGACUGGUGUUAUAUGAUCUCAGUGGCCACUCCCAGUCACCAGUCUGGCUGCCGCAUUCUGGAUUAAUUGUAGUUUCCGGGUCACCUUCAAAGGUAGCCCCACUUAGAGUAGUUGCAGUAGUCCAAGCGGGAGAUACCUAGAGCAUGCACCACUCUAGCCAGACAGUCUGCAGCCACGGAGGGUCUCAUCCUGCGUACCAGAUGGAGCUGGUAGACAGCUGCCCUGGACGCAGAAUUGACCUGUGUCUCCAUGGACAGCUGUGAGUCCAAAAUGACUCCCAGGCUUUACACCUGCUCCUUCAGGGGUACACUUGCCCCAUUCAGGACCAGGGAGUCCCCCACACUCACCCACACCCUGUUUCCCCAAAACAGUACUUCUGUCUUGUCAGGAUUCAACCUCAAUCUUUUAGCCACCAUCCAUCCUCCAACCACCUCCAGACACUCACACAGGACCUUCACCGCCUUCACUGUUUCUGAUUUAAAAGAGAGAUAGAGCUGGGUGUCAUCUGCAUACUGAUGAACACCCAGACCAACCCCCCUGAUGAUCUCUCCUAGCAGCUUCAUACAGAUAUUAAAAAGCAUGGGGGAGAGGACGGAGCCCUGAGGCACCCCACAAGUGAGAGUCCUGGGGUCCGAACACUCAUCCCCCAACACCACUUUCUGAGCAUGGCCCAGGAGGAAGGAGCGGAACCACUGUAUGACAGUGCCCCCAGCUCCCAGCCCCUCAAGACGGUACAGAAGGAUGUCAUGGUCGAUGGUGUCAAAAACUGGCAGAACUAGGAAACAGCUUUCACCUUUGUCCCUAGCCUGCCAGAGAUCAUCAACCAGCGUGGCUAAGGCACUUUCAGUCCCAUGAUGAGGCCUGAAUCCCAACAGGAAGGGAUGAGUUUCAGAUGACACAUGUUUCUAAUAAUGUUUGUCUCAUUCACACAUUUUUAUCAGUACACGCAAAACAUCUUGGAUGAUCACCAAAAACAUAAUUGUGAGGUGCUUUAUUUUAAUUACGCAUGCUUAUUCCGACUGAAGGCAAGAAAUAAGAGGAUUUGAGCAAAUUAAAAUCAAGGAGUGAGGUGCAUUUAAUCUUCAUUGGUUUGUGGCCAAGGUGUCUUUAUACAUUUGACUGUGUGAAUCAUCAAGUGCAAAGAACUCUAGUGAAGAUAAAUCAAGUUGAGCGUAUGAACCAGCUUCUUUAUAGGCUUCUUUAUAGACAGCGUUUGUUCUUUUCUUGGUGAACAGGAGGUGCUGGCAGUCUCCUCCUGCUUUGACUGCAGGAGAGAGAAGGAAAGGAAGCUGAGGAACGCCUCCUGAUGUGCUGCAGCUGUUCCUCACAAUAAAAUGGAAGGCUCAUCAUUUGUCCGGUGCUUUCAGAUGCUCAGUAUCCCUGUGUGGUUACAACAACCCUGUAAAGUAGGCCAGAGCUAUAUGUUUCCAUAUUGCAGCUGUGGGGACUUCUGAGGCUGAGAUGGGUCUUGGCUAAAGACACCGAAUGACGCCAGGGCAGAGACUGGAACGGGGGACCCCCCAGCUCUGUAGCUCAGACCCUCCAAGGGUCCCUAUUUUCCAGGGACAUACCUGAUUUAGAGAAGCUGUCCCAGUUUCUGAUUUGAUCCCAGAAUGUCCCACUUUUCCUUAGGAUGUCCCUAUUUUCAUGGAGUUAUCCAACCUCCGAGCUGUCUGAAGGCAAUUCUGUAUAGGGAAGUUUUUUUAAAUGUUUUAUUUUUUAUUAUGUUUUUAAUAUAUGUUGGAAGCUGCCCAGAGUGGCUGGGGCAACCCAGUAAGAUGUGUGAAGUAUAAACAGUAAAAUUAUCAUUAUGGAAUGGGACGUCCCUAUUUUCACUGGAGAAAUGUUGGAGGCUAUGCUAGCUCACAGCACAAUCCCAGCCAGGCCUACUCAGAAGUUAAUCCUUUUGAAUACGAUAAGGCUUGCUGCUUGCUUGUAAAUGGGGUCAGGACUGCAGCUUUUGCCUGUUCACUCCACUACUUGUUUUUAUUUAGUUUUGCAUUUAUAUCCCACUAUUCCUCCAAGGUGUACAAAGCUCUCCCCAUUUUAGUCCCACAACAACCCUGUGAGGUUGUUUAGGCCUUGUGGGAAAGUAAGUUUGCUUGUCUUCAGCUAAAUAACCUAAGAGGAAAAUUCAUAGGAAGCUGCCUUGGACAGAGUCAGUGUGUUGACCUAUCUACCUCAGCAGCAGCAGCAGCAGCAGCUCUCUAGGGUUCAGAUGGGGGCGGGGUCCCCCAGCCCCACCUGGAGAUGCCGCCAGGACUGAACAUCAGCAUGUAAAGCAGAUGGUCUAAUUCUGUGCUAUGGACACCCCUAGACUUGGGAGUCUUCUUCUGCAUUUAAAGGUUGUGGGGAUGAUCUCUCUUUAGAAAUGUUGUUGGAAGAAGAAUGAUCUGAAAUACAGACGGGAACCUGAAGAGAGAAGAUGCAGCAAAGCUGUGGACAGAGCAGCAGGUGCACCAAAGUUCUGAAGAAGCAUCACCACUCAGGACGGUCAAGGUGGGUGGGUUGCCGUGGUAACAGUGCCUUGCCCUCCCUUGUGACAUCUCUCCCUUAAAAGUCACCGACUGCAGGUGUCCCUUGUGGGUUAGUGAGGAGAGGUCAGCAGAGAGCAGUGUGGUUGGAGUUGGUGGGAAGAGGUUCAGGAGAGGCUUUUGAUUCAUUAGUAUUUUCUAAUUUGAUCGUUUUCCAUUUUGAUUUGAUUUGUUUUCCAUUUUUUAUUUUAAUAUUUUAAUAUUUAUUCUUUAUUUUAAUAUGUUUUAGUUUACAUUUUUAUUUUGUGCAUAUUUGUGCAUUUUAUAGAUAGUAUAUAGAAUAGUUAGGGUUAGGUGUAGGUGUAGGAUUAGGGCUGCGGUUGGAGUUAGGCUUGGGUGGGCACUUUAGCUAGUCAGGUAGUGUACAGUGGUACCUCGGGCUACAAACACUUCGGUAACAGACUCCCCUAACCCGGAAGUAGUACCUCGGGUUAAGAACUUUGCCUCAGGAUGAGAACAGAAAUCGUGCGCUGGUGGGGCAGUGGCAGCGGGAGGCCCCAUUAGCUAAAGUGGUGCUUCAGGUUAAGAACAGUUUCAGGUUAAGAACGGACCUCCAGAACGAAUUAAGUUCGUAACCAGAGGUACCACUGUAUAUUGGAGGGGGGACUUUUUCUGGACAGCAUACUGUUCAUACUGUGAAUAGAAUUCCUUCUCCGGGGGGGGGGGCUGGGGUCCCCUGCACAGCCUUGGCUCUCUUGAAAUCGUCUCAGCCAGUCACUCCCCUUCAAAAGAACUCAGCUUCUCCACAUUCUUUCCCUGCCUUCCCAUUUUCUUUCCAUCUCAUCAUUUACAUUUAUUGUUACANNNNNNNNNNNNNNNNNNNNNNNNNNNNNNNNNNNNNNNNNNNNNNNNNNNNNNNNNNNNNNNNNNNNNNNNNNNNNNNNNNNNNNNNNNNNNNNNNNNNNNNNNNNNNNNNNNNNNNNNNNNNNNNNNNNNNNNNNNNNNNNNNNNNNNNNNNNNNNNNNNNNNNNNNNNNNNNNNNNNNNNNNNNNNNNNNNNNNNNNUAGCCCCUUUCCUCCCAGAAGGCAUUUAUGGAGGAAGGAGGUGGCAGAGGCAGCUGAUAGGACAGGGCUGGGGGAUGGUUGUCAGCUACAGGGCCACCUUCCCUUGUGAGGCACUGGGGUGUCCCACUGGGGUUGCCAUAUUUCAAAAAGUCAAAAGUUGUUGUUGUUGUUUUUUUAGCAAAACCCCAUAGCUGUAGAACUUUUUUUUUUUAAUGAAAAGGCCAAUGGCAGCCCUUUGUCCCACCCCUGUAGUAGGACUUUGAUAAGAGUAGAGGCAGGGAAAUCAAGGAGAAGACUCUUGGAAUGGUCUUGCAAGAGACUCACCUGUCUCCAUGUCCUUCUCUUGUUGCAGUUGUGCCACAGAUCUUCCAAGUCUCCCCAGCACCUGAGGCGAGUAUUGGAGAAAACAAGAGUAGGGACUGGAUCCCUCAGACCUGCCCCCUGCUGCUCGAGGUCUUUGCCCCCAGUUCUGCAGUCUCUAAUGGGGAGACGCCCUCUCACUUUGAACAGACAGCCUGACUUGGGCCAUUUCAGCAACUGGAGCAAGAAAAGCUCAUCUUGGUCCCGAUAAUAGGGACCUGUCUGGAGGCUGCACAGAGGGGCUUCUGGAGGAUCUUGAAAGCAGCGGGCUGCUCAGUGGCUGAAUUAAUUAGCAAAGUAAUUUCUCCUCCCUCACUCAUAAUAUGUCCAUGACUUAAAUCCAAUUUUUCAUCUUAAGAAACGGAAGUUUGUUGCUCACAGAGGCGACUUUGGAGAGUUGCCAAGAAAUGCACGGUGCUUUCCAUCCAGUGCCCCCUGAUUCCUUCCGGAUUUGGGGCCAGGUGUUGGGCGAACUGCAGAUGAGACUGCCACCCCCAACCCUGGGGAGUUGGGAGACUGAUUAUUCCCAUCUCAGCCUCUAAUUACCUGUGCAAAUGGCUGCAAUGGAAUUCCAGCCUCUUCCAUGGCACCAAACCAGUAUUGUAUUUGAUGCAACCUGAAAUCUGUCCUGCAUAGUUAAGUUUGCACAACACCAUCUUAAGACUGUUAGAAGGCUGUAUGGGUUUCACUUUAUUUGUAAGAAAUCAAUCUUUUAGUGUUGCAGCACCCACAUUUUGGGACGCCUGCCUAUUGAUGCCACUUUAAUAACUAAAAGUAUACUCCCUAUUCAAGUAUUUUUCUUUGGCGUUAAAUCAAUGAAUGAGAGGAGAGAGCAAGGGAGAGUAGGCUGUCUUUGCUCUGCCAGCAUCCCCGCCAUCUUCUAUGAGUUGGAAGGACAACCUCUGCAGCAGAGAUCCUGGUCUUCCCACAAAGGCUCCCCGUGCUACUCAGACCCUGGGAAAUUGGGAUUCUGCCUCGUGCUGCAGAGCAUAUGGUGACAGGGCCAGAGCUAAUACACUCAUCCCCACCUCCCAGCCCAAUUGCCUUAAUAGGGUCAGCAGUAACCAGCUCCACUCCUUCAGACAUGGACUGGUUCUGUUUACCAAUCUGAGCCACCUGGAUUUUAUGUGCUUCUCUCUAGCAGGGAAAGAAAUGGAAGCCGUCAGUGCAACGGUGAACUACAGAAAUAUUCUGUACCUGUUUUCAAUUACUGUGCUAUCAGCCGUUUGUUAUAAUAGAGAAAAGGGGUUUUGCUUUACAAAGCUUCCUGCAUAGAAGCCUGUCUGAGGAAACCCAGCUUUCCUUGUCAAAGCUAAAUUACUGUUCAAGAUGACAGCAAGAAAAGCAAGACAAAAAAGAUUUAAAGUAGCUCUGUAGUAUAUGGGAUAUUGGCAGGUGUUAGGUUAUUAAAUACCAACUAUGAAUCCUGUAAGAUCUUGUGGAAUUCUAAUGGAGGCCACGCAGAGUUUCCCCUUUUGGCCAAAGUGGAGAUUUUUCUUUCUAUUUUACAUACAUUAAAAAUACUCCCCCCCCCCCCCCCGCCGCCUGUUUUCAUACUGGGCUUCCUUUUCUUCACCCCACUGAUGCACUGUCUGGGUUUGCAUCUGUUUUUCCUUUGCCUCUUUCUCGCUUCCUUCACUAUUUACUUUUGUAAGCCAACUGAUGUUUUCAUUCAAUUCCCCUGGGAUUUCACCCUGCGUUUUACUGUUUUCAAAAUCUCUCAAACUGUCCCAAUCUUGGAGUUACCUUCCAUCCCAUAGCACUAUCUGGGACCUGUUUCCAAUUAGGUAUGUUUUGUCUUGUUUACUGAUUUUUUCUUCUCCUAUAUGCAGCUACAGUUGCUUUUUCAGCUGGGGUGGAGCUGACAGAAGCCAGAAAAGGACACACUUUUCUUUCCAUUGGUAUUUUCUCAGGCCAACUGCUUAUUUGUCUUUGCCCAUGCAAUAAUGUCAGCAGCCACUUAUGAUAAUGGAAUGUUUACUCUUGAAUGCCUACAGUUUUGGGGGUACAUUGCACUUUUAAUACUACUUCCCCAAUCAAGUCACAUUAUAUACAUUACAGGGAAGAAAAUACAAGUUCUUCAUUUAAGCCCUCACUUGCAGAAUGUUUGGGACGGCUAGCGAUGCAAGGAUCUGUCAGCUUCUCUCUGUUCUCUCAGUUCCUCAUUUUUUCAAUUCAGUUCUCCACAUUUCUGCAGCAAUCUGUGAUCUUAAAAAAAAUCCUAAUGAAACAUUUUUAGCAUUUUUGUUCAAAUUUAUCUGAAUAAACAAAAUUUUGCAUGCAGCUUUGAUAAUAAUAAUUAUUAUUAUUUAUUGGUAUCCUGCCCAUCUGGCUGGGUUUCCCCAACCACUCUGGGCAGCUUCCAACAAAGAUUAAAAAUACAUUAAAAUGUCACACACUAAAAACUUCCCUAAGCAGGGCUUCCUCCAGACUAAUACCUGAAGGAACGUCUCCACCCCAUCAUCCAGCCCACACAUUGAGGUCCAGCUCCGAGGGCCUUCUGGCAGUUCCCUCAUUGCAAGAUGUGCAACCAGGCAGAGGGUUCAGAAGUGAUGCCCAUCCCAUCAGAUGUCAAGGAGAUAAACAACUACUGUAUAUGACUUUUAGAAGACCCUUCAUAUGUCUUCUAUCGGGAAGUUUUUAAUGUUUGAUGCUGUAUUGUGUUUUUACUAUUUUUUAUUGGGAGCUGCCCAGAGUGACUGGGGCAACCCAGUCAGAUGGGCGGGUACACAUAGGGAAUUCAUUCCUACACAAAGUAGUGAUGGCCAUGAACCUUGAUGGAUUUUAAAGAGGACCAGGCGGAGGCUGUCAGGGGCAGCUGCCUAUGGAAACUGUCUGAUCCCUUCCCGGGUGGGAGGUGGUGUGCUUCUGAAAGCCAGCUGCCGGGAAUGAAAGUGGCAGUCAUGCUGCUGUGCUCAGGUCCUGCUUGUGGGCUCCCCAGGGGCACCAGGCUGGUCACUGUGAGAACAGGAGGCUGGACUGGAUGGGGCCCCUGGCCUGACGCAGCAAGGCUCUUCUUCCACUAUUAUUUGCGCAUCGGUGGAUAUAUAUAUAUUUUAACUGCAAAAUGCUGAAGAAUGCGGAGAACUAAAUUUUAGAUUGGGAAAUUGAGAAAACUAUCCUACCUUUCCAGCAAAGAUAAAAGGUAAAGGGACCCCUGACCAUUAGGUCCAGUUGUGACUGACUCUGGGGUUGCGGCGCUCAUCUCGCUUUAUUGGCCGAGGGAGCCGGCGUACAGCUUCCGGGUCACGUGGCCAGCAUGACUAAGCCGCUUCUGGGGAUUCGAACCGCCGACCUUCUGAUCGGCAAGUCCUAGGCUCUGUGGUUUAACCCACAGCGCCACCCGCGUCCCUCUCCACCAAAGAAACUCAGUGCAAUCUAUCAGUAGGGACCUCCAUUCACACAACACAUUUGAAUAACGUAGUCCAAUGGAGGUGAAAUAUACUCGGAGUCGAGUGUGGAUUUCAUGCUCUUUAUUCAGCUCAUAGUAGCGAGGAAUGAAAGUUUCCCCAAAAUAUCUGCUUUAUAUACAUUAUUUACACAAUGGGUUAAUUCCCAGAUUCUUCUCUAGGCCAAUCAGAUUGUGGAUUCACUUCCACCUGGAGCUGGAUUGGGUGGCUCCUGCGGGCUAAUCAUACUGCUGCAUUGUUCUAGGACCAAUCAGACUGCUGCAUUCUGAAUCCUAUUGUUCCAGGACCAAUCAGACUGCUGCAUUUUGGAUCCUCUUCAACUCAGUAAAUAACAGGAGGGCACAAGUCUUAAGCCUUUGUUUAGUGGAGUUGGGGCUUUGGAAAAGUUCUCGCCUUGGCAGAUCUAGUGUUUGCAAUCACACAAAACCAUUCCGCCAUCCUCCUCAAUUUCUCCCUUCAGUCAAGCCAUUCUGAAAAAAUGGCAGCAAAACAUUGAGAACUCAAGGUACUGUGAACUUACGCUAGGGAGCGUUGGGGGUUCCAAAGGCUUGUGAGUUUAUUUAGUCCCGUAUCUACUGCUCUGUCCCUCUCCCCUCUCCCUCACGCUUGAGUAUUAGGACAGGAUUAAAAGCAAACAUGUUUUGGGGUGCCAGAGCAGUGAGCAUAGCAAUGCUCAGGAGCUCCCAUUGAAUGCUGCCUCAGCAAAAGAGGAGAGCAUAGGACAUAGGACAAUAGAUGCCCCAUCCCAGUAAUCUCCCACCCACUUUAAAUUCAGGUUGCUGGAAGCACCUCUCCAGCCCAAUACAUUUUGGCAUCUGAGGUGAACCACAAAAUGGCACCCCCUCUCAGGAAGAAAGGCUGG
rnacentral:lncRNA from 1 species